rnacentral:rRNA from 1 species
GGGUUCGCCCAUUGGUCAGGCUUAAUUGUCUGUACUGGUGAGAUGAAUCUCUACCUUCUGAGGAACUUUCAUGCCAUUUAUUUGGUGUGAUUGGAAAUCAGGACUGUUACUUUGAAAAAAUUAGAGUGUUUAAAGCAGGCUUACGCUUGAAUACAUUAGCAUGGAAUAAUAGAAUAGGAC